GCUGGGAUAGCUCAGUCAAUGGAGCACGAGGCUCUUGAUCUCAGGGGUGUGGGUUUGAGCCCCAUGUUAAGCG